rnacentral:lncRNA from 10 species
GUGGUAGCAGAGUCACUGCAGAGAACCAGACAAUACCAGGUUGCUUAUAAAAGGAUGCCAUGUGCUUGCUGGAGGUCCCAGGUGCAACCAAAUUGCUUGCAGCUAGGAGGACCUUGAAGAGAAAUGGGAUCAGCCCGCCAAACCAAGAAGGGUUAGCACUUUUGCUAGGAGAGCUGACCACGCACAAACAGAUGAGAACCAAAACCGAGUGAAGAGGAUUGAAGAUGAACCCACAUUUUAAAAGUUCUUGUCUGCUGGAGGUGGCAUUACCUGUGACCUCGCUUCACUUCUCCAUACAUGGCUGUUAUAGCAGAAAAUCCAGCUUUCUGAAGCAUAUUUCACGACAUAUGAUGAGACUUAUGUGAUGUGAGACCUGAGAAAACUAUGAUAGAAAGAAGCAACUCAAGUUGCAAGGAUAUUCCUCAUGUAUCAUGCAAGGAUAUUCCUCAUAUAUCAUAGACUAAGGUGUCAGUAUGUUCUUCAAGCUGCUCUGCUCCUGGGCCCAAGCUAUUCUCCUGCCUCAGCCUUCCAAGAAGCUGAAACUACAAGAACACAAGACUGUACCUGGCUUGCAAACACCAUUGCUAAUAAGAAGAUAUUGUAAGACUGAUACCUAAGAGAUAAGAGAGUCUCACUCAUUCUGUCGCCCAGGCUGGAGUGCAGUGGCGUGAUCUCAGCUCACUGCAACCUCCACCUCCCGGAUUCAAGCGAUUCUCCUGCCUCAGCCUCCUGAGUAGCUGGGACUACAGGCCCUCCCUCCGUUGCCCAGGUGGGAGUGCAGUGGUGUGAUGUCAGUUCACUGCAACCUUGGCCUCCCGGAUUCAAGCGAUUCUCCUGCCUUAACCUUCCGAACAUGGAUCCCUGAGGUCGGUCCCCAAUACGACAAGACAAUUUGAUAUCAUAAUAGAACACUGCAGAAACAAUGCUGAGUGAAGAAGAGUAGAAAUGGGAAGACUUGGUUGAGCGGAAACUGAGUUCUUGAAAAGAGGAGAUGCUUGAUGAGGGCAUGGAUCCCUGAGGUCUGCCCCAGUACUAUAAGACAAUUUGAUGUAAGAAAACACAGCAGAUAUAAUACUGAGUGAAGAAGAGUAUAAAUGAGAAGAUUGGUUGUGCAGAUACUGAGUUCAUGAAAAGAGGAGAUGAUUGAUGAGGCCAGGUGCGGUGACUCAUGCCUGUAAUCCCUGCACUUUGGGAGGCUGCGGCGGGCGGAUCACCUGAGGUCAGGAGUUCGAGACCAGCCUGGGAGACAGAGCAUGGAAACCUAAGGUCUGUACCCAAAACUACAGGACUAUUUGACAUCAUAAUAAAACACUGCAGAUAUGAUGCUGAGUAAGAGUAGAAAUGGGAAGACUUGGUUGUGCAGUAACUGAGUUCUUGAAAAGAGGAGAUGCUUGAUGAGGGCAUGGAUCACUAAGGUCUGUUCCCAAUACAAGAAGACUCUUUGACAUCAUAAUAAAAUACUGCAGAUACGAUGCUGAGUGAAAAAGAGUAGAAAUGGGAAGACUUGGUUGUGCAGAAACUGAGUUCUUAAAGAGAGGAGAUACUUUAUGAGGCCCGACUCUUAUUCU